CAGUGCUUUUGAAUUACGUAAUACGUACUACGCGUUUGCCGGCAAGACUCCAUUAAAAUUGUCAAGCCAUAAUAAAUAAUAUAUAAAGAAUAACGCAUUCAUUUGUAUGUGUGAGCUAUACUAAAAUACGUUAAUAGUCCUGUUAUAUUGUGCAUUUUGUAUAAUAAUACGUUUUAUGUCAUAGACUUGAGCAAAGAAUUGAAAUUCUUAAUUUGUGUUAAAAUAAUUUGAUGCAAUGGAAGAUUAUCAACUUGUAAGAAUUAAUUCUACGAUUGAAGAACGGAAAAUCAUUUAUGAGUGGAAAAUACAACAGUUUUUUUCAUUAACACGAUUUGCCGCAUUCUGCGAUGAAUGCAAUACAAUCCAAUCACCAGUUUUUUCAACUAAUGAACCUGGUAAUAGUUCAUGGUAUUUAAAAAUAUCCCUUGAUCACGGGACGUGUGACGAAUUGUUAUCAAUAACUUUAGGAUAUUGUGGUGGUGGUCAUCAAAAAAUGAAAACCAAAUAUUCAAUAUGUAUUAUUGAUGAUGAAAAAAACAAACGAUUCCUACAAAAGGGAUCUAAAUUUUUUAACAAUAAUGAAACAAUUAUUAUAAAGUCUUUUCCUGUGGGUGAACUAUUGAACGAACGAAGUAAAUUAAUACCUGAUAAUACAUUAACGGUAUCCCUUAAAAUUUCUGAUUUUAUUGUACGUUCUGACACUAGUCUACCCAUCACUAAACUUCGAUUAAAAAAAUCGAAGCAAAUUGUCGGGGAUUGGGAAGCUCUUUUUCAUAGUAAAAAAGGCAGUAAUGUUGUUCUAGUUGUUGAUGAUAAGAAAAUUCCAGCUCACGAAGCUUUGCUGGAGAGUCGAAGCCUUGUAUUUUCUGCAAUGUUUACACAUCAGCUGAAUGAAAACAGAGAAGUUACCAUUCCUGAUAUGGAUCCUGAUACGUGUGAAAAAUUAUUAGAAUUUAUUUAUACGGACACUGUGACUGACCUUGAUGAAGUUGCUGAACGUUUGUUUGUAGCGGCAAAUAAUUAUCAGAUACCAGCUCUUAAAAAGUUAUGCGGAGAAUCACUUUGUAAAAACUUAACUGUUAAAAAUGCCGUUCAAUAUCUUGUUUUACUUGACCGUCAUAAUGCUGAUCAAGAAUUUUUGAAUUGUGUAGCAGAUUUCAUUGCUAACAAUUCACAGAUAAUUAUCGAAACUGAAGAAUAUAAAGCAUUACUCAACACUAAUCCACCAUUAUUGUUGACUGUAUUAACAAAAAUUUGCAAUAUUAAAUAAAAAAAAACAGAUCAAUAUCUUGGUAGUUCAAUACCGCAACAUAAACGAUAUCUUAAAAUAUAUUAUUUUCAGUUAUAAUUCAUAAUUGUCACCUUAAUUUGAAUCUUAUUUUUUUAUAAUUACCCUCAUUCUAAUAAUACAAUUUACAAUUAUGCUAUCAAUUAUACUGAUACGUUUAUUAACAUCUGCUAGUUCAUGCUCUUAAAAACGUAUAUUCUAUAAAAAGAAAAAAAUUAUUAUUUUGUAUUCUUAAUGUUUCAAUAAAUGCUCAAACAUAAAAAAUAAAUCAUAACUACGGAUAAAUUUGAAUAAAGAACGAGUUCCUUAAUAUCUUUAUUUUUGCUUAUGAUGGAUGUGAAAGAAAACAAUAACUGAACCCCGUGUUUCAUAAAUAUCAAUUGAUUUACAUGCGUUAGCAUAAAUAGAUUCAAAUUUUAUUGUUUACAAACACUCAAUAAAGUAUGAAGUUUCAUCAAGUUGAUUUUAAUAAUAUAAUUUAUAAUAAUUAUCAUAUUAAUUAUAUAUCAUUGCACUUAAUAAUAUCUCUGCUAAUUAAUGUUCGUCAAAGUAUAUUUUAUAAAACCAACAAAAAAUGAUUAUUUUGUAUUCUUAAUUUUUCAAUAAAUACUCAUACUUAAAAAAUAAAUCAUAACUACAAAUAAAUUUAAAUAAAGAACAAGUUCCUUAAUAUUUUCAUUUUUGCUUAUGAUGGUUGUGAAGAAAAAAAACAAAAACUCAUCCACGUGUUACAUAAAUAUCAAAUGAUUUACAUGAGUUAGCAUAAAUAAAUUCAAAUUUUAUUGUUUACAAACACUCAAUCAAGUAUGAAGUUUCAUCAAAUUGAUGACCAAAAAUAAAUAAAAAAAAAAUAUUAAAACAAAAUUGCACCUAUAUAGUUUUUUUAACUUCUGCACGUGCAUAUUUUUAAUUUUUAUUUUUUCAUAAUUGAUUUGUUGAAAGAAAAAUCCGGAAGUUGUUAAUUAUCUGUUGAUUCCCUUAUCAUAUAAUCAGUACGCGCAUUUUUUUAAUUUCAUUAUUUGAAUUAAUCAAUUUAAUUAUCAAAGAUUUAUGUAUUUUCUCAUAUCUUUUACAUUCCCAAUUAUCAUUAAUCAUGAUUUUGGAAAAACAAUUCCUUAUUUAUUAGCAUUUUAUUUUUUAAUGUUUAUAUCUUACUUUUGAGUUACGUAGUAUGAAUUUUCCGGCAAGUCGCCAUCAAUAAAACUAUCAAAGUCAUAGAUAUCGAGCUAGAAGAAGCAUUCUUUCAUUUCUUCUUGUGACAAUCAGUGAUACGUCUACAGUCAUUGUUAUACUUUCACGCAUUGCAUUCUAAAACGUUUAGUAUUGUCUAUUUAAGUGAAGAAUUGAAUUUUUUUUUAUUUUUAUUCAAAUAAUUUGACGAAAUGGAAGAUUUACAAGUUGUACAAACCUAUUCUAUGCCUGAAGAACGGAAAAUUAUAUAUGAAUGGAAAGUAGAUCAUUUUUUUUCAAUUAUGCGAUUUGCAUUAAGCAACAAAGAGGAAAGUACAAUCCAAUCACCAGUUUUUUCAACUAUUAAUAAUUCCGUCGAUAGUUCGUGGUAUUUAACAAUGAAAUUAUCGCAUGUACCUCACCAGGGCGAAUAUUUUGCAAUGGCUUUGACAUAUUGUGGUGGACAUCAAACAUUAAGAGCCAGAUAUUCGAUAAGUUUUAUUGAUGAUGAUGGAAACAAACAAUUGGAGCAAAUAGGAACUAAAAUUUUCAAAAACAGUGUCGGACAUAUUAUUCGGCAGCCUCGUUCAGUAAGUGAAAUGCUUAAAGAAGCACGUAAAAUAGUACCUGAUGAAACAUUUACUGUACACCUUGAACUUACUGAAUUUAUCGUACGUUCUUACGCAAGUCCACCCAUCACUAAACUUCGAUUUAAAAGAUCGAAACAAAUUGUCGACGAUUUGCCAGCUAUUUUUCAUAGUAAAGAAGGCAGUGAUAUUGUUCUAGUUGUUGGUGAUAAGAGAAUUCCAGCUCACAAGACUUUACUAAUGAAUCGAAAUACUGUAUUUCGUUCAAUAUUGACACAUCACUCGAGAAACACCAGAAGUAGUGUAGUAAAUAUCCCUGAUAUGGAUCCUGAUAUCCUUGAAAAAUUAUUAGAAUUUAUUUACACGAACAAUGUGACUAAUCUUGAUGAAGUUGCUGAACGUUUAUAUGAAGUAGCAGAUAAAUAUCAGAUACCAGCUCUAAAAAAGUUAUGCGAAGAAUCACUUUGUAAAACCAUAUCUGUUGGAAAUGCCGUUCAAUAUCUUGUUUUACUUAACCGUUAUAACGCUGACGGAGUAUUUUUGAAUUAUAUAGCAGAUUUCAUUGCAAUUAAUUCAAAAAUAAUUACCCAAACUGAAGAAUAUAAAGCAUUACUCAACACUAAUCCAUCAUUAUUGUUGGCUGUAUUAACAAAAAUAUACAGUAGCAAAUAAAAAAAUCAACAUCUUGGCAAUUCAAUACUGCAGCAUAACCCGGAUAUUUUUAAAUUUAUUAUUAUCAGUUUUAAUCCUUAACUUUGGACUUGAUGUAAAUCUUUCUACUUUUUUUUAUAAUUACUUUCAUUUUAAUAAUAUAAUUUACAAUAGUUAUUAUAUCAAUUAUAUAAAUGGACUCAAUAUUUCUGCUAAUUUGUGUUUGUCAAAGUAUAUUUUGUAAAACAAAACAAAUUAUUAUUUUGUAUUCUUAAUCUUUUAAUAAAUAGACAAACAUCAAAAAUAAGUUAUUACUCUGAAUUAAUUUUAGUUAAAGACAAAUUCAAAUUUUAUUGUAGAUGAUAUUCACUAAAGGAUAUAUAGUCUUAUCAAAUUGAUAACCAUCUAGCCUAAUAUAAUGUAUACAAAGUAUCUGAUGUCAUAACAGUAAGAAGUGAUAGAGCUAAAGCAGCUAUUUGCUAUAAACCGAUUGUUGAGUCAUAAUUAUACACGUAGUCAUAAAUAUGGAAGUAAAUUUCUAAGAAAAAUUCCAAGUACUCGUUUGUAUUUGCCGCUAUUAUAUUGAAUGACAUCAUCACCUAGAAAGCCGUUGAUGAGCUCACAAUAUACAAAAGAAUCACCUGACAAUUUUUUUCAUCUACAAGCUGGAACAUUACAAAGUUUUUCGCAUUUAAAUAUUUAUAAUUAUACUUUACAUUAUUGUCAUACUUAAAAUAUAAACCAGUGAUAAAAUUAAUAAAAAUAUUAAUUUACAAUAAAAUAGAAUAAAAUUAAUUGUUGAAGUCUUUGAAAAAUGGAAGUCGCAGGUUAUUCAAAAGUUAAAAAGUACGAGGUUACAUUCAAGUGGGAAAUAGAUUGUCUGCUUCAGUUCAUCGAAUCUGCUGACUAUGAUAAAGUUGAUAAAACUCUUGAAUCUCCACAAUUUUCAACCGGAGCUAGUUUCAAAGACACCUGGUUCGUAGAUUUGAGAGUUGACUCCAGUAAACUUUCGAAAAUAAAAGGAUGGCUGUCAUUUAAUUUGAACUUGAUCAGUUGUGAAUUGCCUGAAGUGAGAGCAGAGUUUGUGGUGUCAAUUUUAAAUAAUGAAAACGAGCAAAUUUUUAUCCAACCGUCAUGUAGCAGAAACUUUAAAGAUCAUCAAGAUUGGGGGAUCGCGCACUUUAUUAAAAUAAACGAAUUAUUUGAAUACAAAGAUGGUUAUUUUUCAAACAAUUCUACUUUGACCCUGUGUGUAGAACUUGCAGUUCAUGAUAACUAUGUACGCAUUACAAAUAAAAUUCCAUCAACAACUUGCGAGCAUUCGAUUACUGAUGAUUUAAAAAAACUAUUUGACAGUAAAAUUGGUAGCGAUAUUAUUUUAGUUGCGGGUAAUAAACAAAUUAGAGCUCACAAGGCUUUCCUGAUGAUAAGAAGUCCAGUCUUCUGUGCGAUGUUUACACACAAGUUGCAAGAAAACAAGGAAAGUAAAGUUACGAUCCCUGAUGUUGAACCAGAAACAUUAGAGAAAAUGCUGGAAUUUAUUUAUACAGAUCGAGUUACGGAUCUUGAGCAGAUUGCUCUGCAUUUAUUUGAAGCAGCUGAUAAGUAUCAGUUACAGAAACUCAAAGAAUUGUGCGAAGAAUCUUUGAGUCAGUCAAUAACUGUUGAUAACGCAAUCAAGUAUCUCGUAUUAGCAGAUCUUCAAAGUACAAAAGAGUUUUAUCAAUAUGUCCUUCGUUUUGUAGCAAUUAAUGCAUCAAAGAUAAUAAAAACCGAAGAUUAUAAAGCAUUGGAGAAAGAUGAUCCAGCUUUGUUGUCAAUUAUAUUAGCAAAAAUGUGCAGCAUUUAAAAAAAAGGUCAAUGUAUGAAUACUGUAGCAUAUGAAGUUUGAAUUUUUACAUAUAUAUCAGUUAUGAUAAUUUAUUAUUAAUGAAAAUUAAGUUGAGUCUUUAUUUUAUUGUUGAAAAUUUUUAUUUAAAGAAAAUAAUUAAUAAUAUCGUUGUUACUGUUAAAGUAAACUGUGAUUUUAAUUUAUUUAUAUUUAAGUAUCAAUGU